rnacentral:rRNA from 1 species
CCGUAGGUGAACCUGCGGAGGGAUCAUUACAAGUGACCCCGGUCUUACCACCGGGAUGUUCAUAACCCUUUGUUGUCCGACUCUGUUGCCUCCGGGGCGACCCUGCCUUCGGGCGGGGGCUCCGGGUGGACACUUCAAACUCUUGCGUAACUUUGCAGUCUGAGUAAACUUAAUUAAUAAAUUAAAACUUUUAACAACGGAUCUCUUGGUUCUGGCAUCGAUGAAGAACGCAGCGAAAUGCGAUAAGUAAUGUGAAUUGCAGAAUUCAGUGAAUCAUCGAAUCUUUGAACGCACAUUGCGCCCCCUGGUAUUCCGGGGGGCAUGCCUGUUCGAGCGUCAUUUCACCACUCAAGCCUCGCUUGGUAUUGGGCAACGCGGUCCGCCGCGUGCCUCAAAUCGACCGGCUGGGUCUUCUGUCCCCUAAGCGUUGUGGAAACUAUUCGCUAAAGGGUGUUCGGGAGGCUACGCCGUAAAACAACCCCAUUUCUAAGGUUGACCUCGGAUCAGGUAGGGAUACCCGCUGAACUUAAGCAUAUCAAUAAGCGGAGGAAAAGAAACCAACAGGGAUUGCCCCAGUAACG